UUCCAUAUGCUUUUUGGUUUUCUUCUAAAUUCUGGGAUACAAAUCAAAAGUCAUCUUCUUUACAGGCAAUAAAAUUUUAGAUUACUUGAAAGUAUUCUUGUAUCUGUCCAAUACAUUUUGACAGAGUACUGGAACAGCUGCCCAGGGGGGUUGUGGAUUCUCCUCUGGAGAUAGUGAAGACCUGCUUGGACACCUAGCUGUGCAGCCUGCUGUAGGGGGCUUGCUUUGCAGGGGGGCUGGACUUGAUGAUCUCUGCAGGUCCAUUCCAGCCCCUACAAUUCUGUGAUUUGGUACUAAGAUAACCCCAGUGAACUGCUUACAAAUUAUCAUGUAGAAUACAGCAAUUUUGGCAAAAAUAUGAGAUGAAAUUAACAAAAUCAAAUAUGGCAGUUUUAAGUUGUUCUCUUACCCAGUGCUGGAGAUGUUUUUAUGAGACCAGAUAAUAAUAUUAUUCCACACUAUGAAAUCUAUUUAAAAUUCAUACAGUGGAUAUCUAUGUCUUGUGAUUCUUAUAUGUUUUGAUGAAUUACUGAUUAUUCUUUACAUAUCAUUUAGAGGCUAGUCUGCUCAUUAUUUUAUUUCUUUUUCUGAGCUUGAAAGUGUUACAUUUUAAUAAUAUUUGCAGUGUAAAUGACUACAAUAAGGAGAAAAUGACAAGACUGGAUGAACUUUGUCAUUGGAGUUAGUGGUUUCAGGUCUCAGACCGUUAGAAAUCUGGGAGAAGAAAAAUGGCGCACUUUGAUAUAAUUCAUCCACUUAAAAGUUUAAUGUCAAAAUACAUAUGAAAUAAAUAAAUUUCAGAAAUAAAGGUUUAGUAAAAU
ensembl:lncRNA